UACAAACCUUUGGGUUUGGGUGGGGUGGAUGGCCUACCAAGGCGACGACGGGUAGCCGGCCUGAGAGGGCGACCGGCCACACUGGGACUGAGACACGGCCCAGACUCCUACGGGAGGCAGCAGUGGGGAAUAUUGCACGAUGGGCGGAAGCCUGAUGCAGCGACGCCGCGUGAGGGAUGACGGCCUUCGGGUUGUAAACCUCUUUCAGCAGGGACGAAGCCGUGAGGUGACGGUACCUGCAGAAGAAGCGCCGGCCAACUACGUGCCAGCAGCCGCGGUAAGACGUAGGGCGCGAGCGUUGUCCGGAUUUAUUGGGCGUAAAGAGCUCGUAGGCGGCUUGUCGCGUCGACUGUGAAAACCCGCGGCUCAACUGCGGGCCUGCAGCCGAUACGGGCAGGCUAGAGUUCGGUAGGGGAGACUGGAAUUCCUGGUGUAGCGGUGAAAUGCGCAGAUAUCAGGAGGAACACCGGUGGCGAAGGCGGGUCUCUGGGCCGAUACUGACGCUGAGGAGCGAAAGCGUGGGGAGCGAACAGGAUUAGAUACCCUGGUAGUCCACGCUGUAAACGUUGGGCGCUAGGUGUGGGGGGCCUCUCCGGUUUCCUGUGCCGCAGCUAACGCAUUAAGCGCCCCGCCUGGGGAGUACGG
rnacentral:rRNA from 1 species